rnacentral:rRNA from 1 species
UACGUAGGGUGCGAGCGUUGUCCGGAAUUAUUGGGCGUAAAGAGCUUGUAGGCGGUUUGUCGCGUCUGCUGUGAAAAUCCGGGGCUCAACCCCGGACUUGCAGUGGGUACGGGCAGACUAGAGUGUGGUAGGGGAGACUGGAAUUCCUGGUGUAGCGGUGGAAUGCGCAGAUAUCAGGAGGAACACCGGUGGCGAAGGCGGAUCUCUGGGCCAUAACUGACGCUGAGGAGCGAAAGCAUGGGGAGCGAACAGG